rnacentral:lncRNA from 7 species
UCAUUUUCUGUGUUUCAUUCACUCUCUGCAGAUCAAACAUUCCCUGAAGUGUGGUAGAAGGCAGGAAGAAUGACACUUGCUAAUUUGAAUUUCAGAACACACCUAAACCGCAUUCUGAUCUCCAGACAAUGCCCUAUUACUGCUCUUGUUUGAAAAGAAGUCUCUCUACUCCUUCUUCUGGAGUUCCUCUGCUUACAAGAAGCCCUUCAAAACUUGCUGAGCCAGAGGAGAGUUGGAUGAUGCUUCUGCCUAUCAAGACAUCACCUGGGAGGAGAACCAUCUGUAAGUAGAGCUCCUCUAGAGCCAAGAAGGAUGGCUUAAAUCAUCACCAGCAGAAAGAGAGUGAUAUUUCUUCCAGAGGUCUGUGCCUAAAUCACUUAGGCAAUUAAAAUAACCCUGUGAUGAUCAAAAGGCAGCAGAGGAAUUACACUCAAGAUUUUUAAGUCUUUUAGAGGUUUCUGCAAGCUAAAAAGAAAAAAAAGAACAACCCCCAAACAAAACUGUAAACGAAAUGAAGGAAGUGGAGGCAGCUUCAAGCUUCAGCUUACUGCAGUACCCUCGGAUUUGAUCAGCUUAAUAUGUGACUCUGAGGAUAUGCUGAGUGAAAAGGAAAAAAAUAUGUUUGAAGAAGCUUCUAGGAAGUAAACGUUUCCCUGAGGAACAAUAUGAUAUCUCAAGGAAAACCUGCCUUAAGAUUAUUGGAGGGACUGAAUAAACACAGCAAGGCUGCAGUUAGACACAAAGCUGCAUCUUAGUCUGAAAAUCCUGGAGGUCUCCAGAUAAAUACACCACCUUAACAAUCCUGGUUUUGAAGAACUAUUGUAUGCUAUGGAAUAACAAGCCUGCUUUGGUUAUCCUGUGCUUUCAUGCAGUAUGGAAGAUAUCACAAAUCAUCUGUCCAGAUGCAGAAGUCUGUAUUUAUAAACUUCUGAUAAUGUCGGUUCACAUGAGCUCAGGUUCUGAAUGUCUUAAACUCUCUUCAUAUCUGGCAAAGUCAACGCUGUGAUUCAUCAUUCCACCCUGAUUUAGUAAUCUAAAACAGAUCAAUUAAGCUUCAGGCAGUGAGAAAUGUUUAGAAAGGACAGUAGAAUCUGAAAGACAGAUAAAGUAUAUCCCAUCCUGUAUUCUAGUGCAAUAAAGAUGUUUUGUUAC